GUCUCCUUCAACCUCUUUUUUUCAUGCACAACAGAAAAAAGAAUCCUUCUUCUGCUGAAAUCUUUCAAAAUCCUUUUAGAGGAAAGUCUGGGAAGUUCUUGUGUCAGGUUUCCUGUCCUCCUGACCUUUGAGGACUGAAAAUGUGUUGGAGCUCACCUUCCCUGUUCAGAACCCAUCUUCUCUCUGGAAGUCAACAUACUUAUUGACACUCAUUUAUUUAGACAAUUAUGUUAUUUUUUUCAGCUUUUGUUGUCAGAUUGGACUUCAGGUGAGGUUUUUUUUUACAAGAAAAAAAGUACCAGUAUGAAAUGUCAUAUUUUUUAUCUACUUAAAAGGGAAAAGUUUUUCUACUUUCUUCAUGAUAAAGAAUUGAAUAAAAGUCGAGUAGACCCAAUGUAACCAGCCACCCCCCCCCCCUCACACACACACACACAUAUGGUCAAACGAAGUCCAGAAAAUUGAAGGAACUUGAAUCUAAAAGAUGUUGAAGUUGGAUUUUUUCCCACUGCUGCCUAAUUAUCUUUAUUUUUUCUGAGGCAAACGACAGGAAAGCGAAAACGAUGCCCAGAGUUUGAAAAUGAGCACCACGUUUCUUCAGUGUGCUUCGGUUUCCAUCUGUGCUGCAGGUGAGGAGGCUCAGGUGAGCAGAAGGAGGGUGUCAGUGGUGGAUGAGCCACACCUGGACUUUCCACAGACUCAUCAGAAACAAGCAGAUCCACCUGCUGAUCCACCAGAGUUCAGUCAAACGGGAGCCUGGUUCAGUUUCUGCAAAAAAGUUGCAUAGCACUGAAUUUAAUAAACUAAAGCUAAAAUUAUUACUUUUGAAUUUUAAGCUAACCCAUAUUAACGAGUAGAGAUCUUAAGAACCAGAGCAAUAACUUAUUUGUGAUAAAGAUCUUCAAAAACGCAUAAAUCCAGAAUCUUUGGCGGUUAGGUUCUGGAUGGACUACGUCUGUAAUGCGAGGGAUCGCAGAACCUGGACCCCGAUGGUGGUUAAAUGGCGGGACCGCGCCAAAGGAUUGUUCCAGGUGGAAAACGGGGUGGAGGAGGGCUGAAAAAACAGUCUGAAACGUGGAGUUUGCCUCUGAUGAAGCAGCUGGAGCAGCCUUGUCUUCAGAGGACGGAGCACACUCCUCCGCUGCCGGCGCAGAGUCACCUGACCCACGUUGCUGCGGAGCUUUGUCCUCCUCUGGGAGCGCUGCUUUGACUUCUGUCUCCGUGGUUGAUGGUUCUGGUUCUGGAUGGGCCAUGGCGGUUUCUGGUUCUGGUUCUGGAUGGGCCAUGGCGGUUUCUGGUUCUGGUUCUGGAUGGGCCAUGGCGGUUUCUGNNNNNNNNNNAUUCUGGUACGGUUGAAGGAGUCAGCUGGAUCUCCUUCUGGGUUUCUUUGAUCGUUUGUUGCACAUCUUCAAACCCAGUCGGCAUCUGAACAUCUGGACGGGGAUCAGUCUGGGUUGGUGGGGAGCUGGUUUCCUCAGAUUCUGGAGGUUCUGAUGAUUUCUCCUUAAAUGGACCCAUCUGGGAAAGUUUGAAUUCUGUUUUCUUGUCUUCAGCCUCUUUGGGUGCAGACUCCAGGCUUUCUUGA
ensembl:lncRNA